rnacentral:rRNA from 1 species
AAGCGCUGGCAACCAGACUUGUGUGCGGGGGUUCCCCCUUGCUUCUGCUUGGGCUACUCCCCCGUAUCCAGGCCAACAUCGGUUUUGGCGGCCGGUUAAAGGCCUUGGGAAUGUAUCUUCCUCCGGGAAGACUUAUAGCCUAGAGUGUAAUGUGACCUAUUUGGACUGAGGAACGCGCUUUUUGCUCGGAUGUUGGCGUAAUGGUUGUAAGCG